CCCUUAGAUGUUCUGGGCCGCACGCGCGCUACACUGACCGGUGCAACGAGUUGUUUGUCCUUUGCUCCGAGAGGCAUGGGGAAUCUUUGAACGCCGGUCGUGCUGGGGAUAGAUUCUUGGAAUUAAAAUCUUCAACGAGGAAUUCCUAGUAAACGCAAGUCAUCAACUUGCAUUGAUUACGUCCCUGCCCUUUGUACACACCGCCCGUCGCACCUACCGAUUGAAUGCUCCGGUGAAACUUUCGGAUUGCGGCGCUGUGCCUUCACGGGCGCACGCUGUGAGAAGUUAUUUAAACCUUAGCAUUUAGAGGAAGGUAAAGUCGUAACA
rnacentral:rRNA from 1 species